rnacentral:lncRNA from 11 species
GGUAUCAGAGCCCUCUCCUGUUUUCACUCUGACAACUUUUACAAGAAUUGUUGUAACAUUCAAGACAGAGUCAGACCAGCUGUGAGUAAUAUUUAUCUGCCAAAUGUUUUGCACAUUGGGUGCAGCCAGCUGGCAAGAGGCCACCCAUCUCCUCAGCCUUCAGCCAUCCAAAGUGCGGAGUAGAAUAUCCUCCAGCUCAUUCACUCCAGGGCCAGUGUGUGAUAAUCCAGGCUGUGUUUCCAAGACCAGGCUGCACCUUCUUCUUGGUGGUCCCUGGGGACUAUUGUCUAAGCACACUUCCCGUUCCCCAUCUGAGGAGGCCUCCUCCAGGUGA